rnacentral:tRNA from 1 species
GCCGGAGUGGUGGAAUUGGCAGACACGCAUGACUCAAAAUCAUGUGAGGUUUUACCCUCGUGUCGGUUCGACUCCGACCUCCGGCA